CAAUAAUAUGACCUGUAUUUUUUUGUAUUGUUACGCCCUUUUCAAUCAGGAAGAUUACUAUGGAGCGGGACAAGUUCCAACCAUCUGCACCCAAGCCGUGGGCCGUAUAGUGAAGGACAGAGUUCGCCGGGUCGGGCCUAGAACCCUGAAAAACUUUUACAGGAGAUGCCAGACCCGGGACGCGACCUGCUUCCUUCUGCGUGACACGCCAACGCGUUACCACUCGGCUAUCCGGCCGCGAUAUGAUCUGUAUUAAAAAUGCUCCGAGAUAUAGAACUGAUUAAUUUCUUAACAGUUGCAUAAUGAUUUUUGUUUAUAUAUAUUUACGCUCCUUUCCAGUCUAUCAUUGAGUUUUCAAAUUACGACAAAUAUUUUCAAAUAAGAAAGUAGCGGUCAGAUGUCCGAAUGAUGACGCUGUCGGUGUGCCACGCAGGAAAUCCCAGGUCUGGUAACUCCUAAAAAGUUUUACCGGAGUACUGAGCUUGGCCCGGCCAUCCCCAUCCUUCACCAUCCAGCCCUCCUC
rnacentral:lncRNA from 1 species